UCUUGUCACUUUGGAAGAAUUCGAAAAAGUUGGAAUGAUACAGAGAAGAUUAGCAUGGCCCCAGCUCGAAGAUGACACACAAAUAUUAAUUUGUCUCCUAACUUAU
rnacentral:snRNA from 1 species